UAAGCCCUUUAAUGAAAAGGAAUAACGCAGGGAAUCCGGGCUGACAGGCACUCUCCCUCAUAAGGCAUGGUGUGACUCAUAAUUGGUGCUUGCCGUUAUGUGGCUAGGAAAAUAGCAGCAUCGCUGCGUAAUGAGGACCUGGGAGAGCCUGUGCUGGCAUGCAAGAAUCGGGUGUGCCAAGCUGGUGCCACCCCAAAAAACAAAACCAUGUCACAAUCUACCAGUUGCUCUCUUACUUCGGGGUGCCCCCCUGCUGCCACUUCAGAAGUUGGGACCCAGAAGCCUCAUUCUUGAUGGGAUAAAAUAAGGGCCGGCGAAAGGGAAAUGAUGGUUCGUUUGACAACUCCUGUACAUGCGGGAAUUGAACAGACCUGAGGAUCCUUUUGCUUCCCCCCUCAUCACUAUUUCACUAUGAAAACUCUUAAAAUAAAGAAAUACUUGUGUACCCAAA